AGAGUUUGAUCCUAGCUCAGAAUGAACGCUGGCGGCGUGGGUAAGGCAUGCAAGUCGAACGAAUCGGCCCUUGGAAGUAUUGAUUGAAGUCAAAGUAGUAAUACUAAGAUGGAUUGAUAUAUGGAAGAGGUUUUCCGGUUAGUGGCAAACGGGGUAGUAACACGUGGGAACGUACCAAGAAGUCGUGAAUAACCCAUCGAAAGGUGGACUAAUACACGAUAGUCCUGAAAAGGUAAAGAUUUAUCGCUUCUUGAACGGCCUGCGGGGUAUCAGCUUGUUGGUAGUGUAAGAGACUACCAAGGCUAUGACGCCUAGGGGAGGUGAGAGCCUGACCCCCACCAUUGGAACUGCGACACGGUCCAAACACCUACGGGUGGCUGCAGUCGAGAAUCUUCCGCAAUGCACGAAAGUGUGACGGAGCGACGCCGCGUGAUGGAUGAAGCCCCUUGGGGUGUAAACAUCUUUUAUGUAUGAAGAAAUUAUUGACAUUAGUACAUGAAUAAGAGGCUCCUAACUCUGUGCCAGCAGGAGCGGUAAUACAGAGGCCUCGAGCGUUAUUCGGAAUUAUUGGGCGUAAAGGGUGCGUAGGUGGUUAUGUUAGUCGAAUGUCAAAAAUCCAGGCUUAACCUGGGGGCGGCAUUCGAAACGGCAUGACUUGAAUCGGUGAGAGGUAUGCAGAACUCAUGGAGUAGGGGUGAAAUCCGUUGAUAUCAUGGGGAAUACCAAAUGCGAAGGCAGCAUACUGGCACUGUAUUGACACUGAGGCACGAAAGCGUGGGUAGCGAAUGGGAUUAGAUACCCCAGUAGUCCACGCCCUAAACGAUGAUCACUAGCUAUUGGGAGUAUCGACCCUCACAGUGGCGUAGCUAACGCGUUAAGUGAUCCGCCUGGGAAGUACGGCCGCAAGGCUAAAACUCAAAGGAAUAGACGGGGACUCGCACAAGUGGUGGAUUAUGUGGUUUAAUUCGACGAUAAACGAAGAACCUUACCAAGGUUAGAAAUCAUGACGAAGAUAGGCAGAAACGCUUAUCGUCUUCGGACGGCAUGACAGGUGAUGCAUGGUUGUCGUCAGUUCGUGGUUUGAAUUGUUCCCUUAAGUGGGGUAACGAACGAAACCCUCAUCGUGUGUUUUAUUUGUCACACGAGACUGCCCCCUCUCUGUUCAGAAUACAUUCUGAAUUAUGAAUAGAGAGGGGGGAGGAAGGAGAGGAUGACGCCAAAUCAGCAUGUCCCUUGAUACCUUGGGCUACACACGUAAUACAAUGGGUACUACAAUGAGUCGCAAUGCCGCGAGGCGGAGCUAAUCUAUAAAAGUAUCCUCAGUUCGGAUUGGAGUCUGCAACUCGACUCCAUGAAGUUGGAAUCACUAGUAAUCGCAGGUCAGCUAAACUGCGGUGAAUACGUUCUCGAGUCUUGUACUCACCGCCCGUCAAGUCAAGGGAGCUGGUGGCACCCGAAGUCUGCGCAUCGCGUGGCCGAAGGUGAAAUCGGUAACAGGGACUAAGUCGUAACAAGGCACGGCUAGCGGAAGCUGGUCGUG
rnacentral:rRNA from 1 species